UGCUGCGCUGUAGAAAGCAUCAUAGAGCCAUGUAGCGGCCUUUAUUGCACGGUGAUGCUCGAGGGAGUUUGAUCCAUUCAUCGUGUGAGGUGGAGGGUGACUGUAACCCUUUUGAUUAUCUGGUGUGGCCUUGAUCUUCUCCAGCAGGCAAUAUUUGGACCAGGGUUGGACUAUGCCACUGCCAUCAUGAGCCCCACAGACCCAGGUCCACUCCCUACAAAGAAUUCUUGCACCCUGGCCAAUAGCAGUGCCAAGAAGGAAGAAAGCCUUACAAACCUGGAAACAAAUACAGCGCACUACAGUAGAGUCUGACAAGUUCCCUGAAGAGCCACAACUAAUAAAUCUGUGUUCAUCCUGUGACAGGAAAGCAGUGCGUCAUCAAUCUGGAUAUGAAUCGCUUUGGAGGAGAGUUUGGCGGAGAACUAGGAUAAGGCUUCUGCUUUAAGCAUCUGGUGUUGAUCAGUAGGCUCCACCUGUGAUGCCCCCCAGCCUGCCACAACAACACCAGCUGCUGUAACCACACACAACUCCACCAGUGGUGCCCCCCAAAAAUGCAACAGCUAUACCAGUGACUCUCCCCAUACAGCAGCUACACUUGCGGUGCAACAACAGCUAACCUCCCUGCACCACAGCUCCACCAGCAUUGCCUGAGCACUAAAACAGUAAAAAUUAUUUUGUCCAAAGGAUCAUUAAGCCUGCCACCAUAUCAAGGUAGACUCUUUAAGCAAGUACCUACUCUAACUUAAAUUACACUUAGUUAUAGAAUUUGCCAGCAUUUCUAAAGUACAAAUAAGAGCCAUUUGAUUGAAUCCUUUGAUUCAAAUUCAAUCCAGCAUUUUCUUGACCAGAGCCCUCAACACAAGUAAUAUAACAUUGCUGGCCAGGGCUCCCUUCAGAAGUAAUAAAUUAUCAUUGGUUGUUGGUGCAUAAAAAAAAACAUUGCUGGCUCAGACCCACCAGACAAGUUCAAAAUAAAAUAGGUUGCCAGUAUAUCCUACAUAAGUUAAAAAAAACAUUGGUGGUCAACCCCACAUAAAAGAAUCCAGGGUCCCCCCUACAAGUUAAAAAAACAUGGGUAGUCUGACGCCAUUGCGAUCGGUCUUCUUCUUCAUUCUCCUCAAUGAUGAUGGCUUCUUCGACUUAUGUCCGAAAUAAUCACAAAUAAAUAAUAACU